UACGUAGGGUGCGAGCGUUGUCCGGAAUUACUGGGCGUAAAGAGCUCGUAGGCGGUUUGUUGCGUCGGCUGUGAAAUCCCGAGGCUCAACCUCGGGUCUGCAGUCGAUACGAGCAAACUAGAGUGUUGCAGGGGAGACUGGAAUUCCUGGUGUAGCGGUGAAAUGCGCAGAUAUCAGGAGGAACACCGGUGGCGAAGGCGGGUCUCUGGGCAACAACUGACGCUGAGGAGCGAAAGCGUGGGGGAGCGAACAGG
rnacentral:rRNA from 1 species